rnacentral:rRNA from 1 species
GACGUAGGAGGCGAGCGUUGUCCGGAUUCAUUGGGCGUAAAGAGCACGCAGGCGGUUUGGCAAGUCGGAUGUGAAAACCCGAAGCUCAACUUCGGGCCUGCAUCCGAAACUGCCCGACUAGAGGUAGGUAGGGGAGAUCGGAAUUCCUGGUGUAGCGGUGAAAUGCGCAGAUAUCAGGAGGAACGCCGGUGGCGAAGGCGGAUCUCUGGGCCUUACCUGACGCUCAGGUGCGAAAGCUAGGGGAGCGAACAGG